UGAAGCUCAGCAAUGCCUUUUUCCCUUACAGUAACCGGGCUGCCCUACAUCUCUAUUCCAACACCCUCAACUUUCAGAUCAGCGAAGUGGAGCCCAAAUACUAUGCAGAUGGGGAAGAUGCAUAUGCAAUGAAGCGGGACCUCACGCAGAUGGCUGAUGAGCCAGCCCCAGGGCCUGGCUCCUCUUGUCUCCUGUCUGGAGACUUAGGCCCUGUCUCUUUCCACCCGCUUCCCUCUGGGCUCCCGGCGGCAGCUGAGGCGGCACCUGGAGCUGAAGGAAAAGGGCAGGCACAUGGUGCUGUCGGCCAUGGAGAACAAGGCGGAGAACAAAGGCAACGUGCUUCUGAGCUCAGGAGAGGCCUGUCGUGAGGAGAAGGGCCUGACUGCUGAGGAUAGUGGUGGGGACAGCAAGGACCUCAGUGAGGUCAGUGAGACCACAGAAAGCACAGAUGUCAAAGACAGCUCAGAGGCCUCUGAUUCUGCCUCCUAGAACCUGCCCUACCUGGUCCCAACCUCACCCCAUGUGCUUUUUACAAUAAAUGUCACCCAGUGGCCUUGGGAAAUUUGUG
rnacentral:lncRNA from 1 species